AACGCACAUUGCGCCCUCUGGUAUUCCAGAGGGCAUGCCUGUUCGAGCGUCAUUUCACUCUCAAGCUCUGCUUGGUCUUGGGCGCCGUCGCUGGACGCGCCCGCAACGCAUUGGCAGGACUGCCCAACUCGUGCGCAGCAACAUGUGCUGCGAGUUCUGGCAGUCUUUUUGAUGGUAACAAAUUUGACCUCGGAUCAGGCAAGGAUACCCGCUGAACUUAA
rnacentral:misc_RNA from 1 species